rnacentral:lncRNA from 1 species
AGAAAAAACCCUAGAGACUGCAAUCAUAUUCUCUGUGUGGAUCACCGUUGGAGGCUGGACAAUUGGACAGCUGUGGUGGCAAAUCAAGGUUGUGGAACGAAAAGAAAAGCAAAAGGAUUGCAGAUCUGACAAAAGGUAUAAUCUUAUCACAAUUCCUAACCAAACACAAUGAGAUCUAUUGGAUGGGAAUCGAAAUAAUUUAAUUUUCCGCUGUGCAUGUAUA